UUGACCAUUUGUGGAAAAAACUGCAGGCAAAAACGCCAACCACCGUAUUCAUUAAGUCGUACAACACCAUGCACGCUCAUGCACCCUCUUUCUACAUAUAAACCCUUCCUUUUUUUUCAAAGGCUCAAACCUAACUAUCUUUUUAAGUUUUACCCUCAAGUUUCCAGCUGAAGUACUUGUCUUUCCAUGCUGUUUUCUUUUUGGGGGUAUUUUCUAGGGGUUCUUAGAGGCUUUGUUGCAGAGCCAAUUUGGCAUUCUGUCCACCUCCAUUGAUGUACUUCUUCUUACCUACCCAACUUAUAAAAUGAUUUGUCUUUGAAGUAAUGGAGGCGGCCAGUAUGUCAAAUAGACUCUGUAAAUUUCUCUCUGAGAAACCCUAAGAGAGGUUAAUGAAAUACCCCUUCACCCUUUCAUGUUUGCCGAGGCAAGGAUCAGUCUUUUCGUUUUUUUUCCAUUUGCUGCUGCAAGUGCAACCUUGAAUUUCUGCGCACGUACUGAAGCUCUUAAGGUAUACAAUUCCGACAAGCUUUGGAUUCCCGGAAGCAAUAUCUUGGAAAGUGGCGUAAAUCCCAGAGUUCCAUUUUUGGUGAAAGUAGUGUUUUUUUCUUCUGGUAAUUGAGGGUUCGCAGAUGAUUCAAACUAAUUUAUGUUUGCAAUAAAAAAAACCCUAAACCAAACACACAAUCAUGAGUUGGGAAAAUUAAACAUGCCGUUUUGCUAAAACGGACAGGAUAAUUUGCUUCAACAGAAGAAUCUCAAAGUAAAUAAUUAUUAGAGUAAGGGUGGGUUUGUAUGGACAAUAUAUUUAUUUGUUGUACUAUUAGAUACUGUUGUACUGUAACAUGAAACAAAAAAAUAAACUAAACGCACUGUACUGCACCA